GACAGGUGCCUCUUCCAUGGGACUACAGAACCAGGUGUAUGAGGUCAGAGUUGUCCAAGACAUGAUUUAUAUCAACACACAGAAUGAGCUGUGUCUAAGUCCCAUCCCAGAGACAGACACAUCUAAUGGCAAGUUGUCAGUAGAUGAUGUCGAGCCAUCACCCUCUGAGGACACACUGUGCUUCUGGGCUACAAAGAUCCUCUGCACACCAGACCCCAAAGAGAAG